GACCAAUUAAAAAACAAACAUUGUAGUCCAUAUAGAGCAAGUUAUGACAUCCAAGAACCAUCAACUAGCAAAGGUAUUUUGUAGGACUUGGACGUGAAAAAGUUCAGUGAACUUACACCUCAAAAGCAAACGCUGUCUAAGAGAUGCAGAAAAAAUCUAUCUGAAAUAGUGAGGCUCUGAAAAAAGUUUCAAGGUACAGUAAAGUGGAGCCACAUAGAGGAGUUUUAUAAUAAAGAUCGCGAGAAUCCCAACCGUGUUUGCUCCAGCUUUAACCCAGCACCACUUACAACCAGUACAGAAUGGCAAACAGAAAAUCAAAGAGCGCCUAGCAGAUCAAAUUUUAAGCCAUUCGGUUGCAGUUGGAAUAUUUGCCAAAAUGAAUGAUGACAAGACGCCCCUGGAACAACUGUCGCUGGACAAGCUUUUCGACUGAACGGAGAUUCGACCGACAGGAAAGAGGUAUAAACACUUAUUAUAAUAAUACUUGACAUCUGUAAUUGUGGAUGUGAUCCAAACCCCACGUCGGUCCAAUUAAAAACUAGCUUAGGCAAUUAGUAGCAGCGUUUUUAAUACGCUGAAAUUAUUAUUCUUCGAAGACACUAAACCUAGCUGCGCAACUGAAUAUCCCUGUAACAGCCAGAUGGAACCUCCAACCUCCCAGGGAAAUUAAGUGGCAUCGCCGACUCAGCUACGCCUACGUCUGGCUAUGCUCUCGG